GUCUUUUAGAAAUUUAUUUAAAGUUUAACCUGCCCACUGAAAAAUUUAAAUGGCCGCAGUAUUUUAACUGUGCAAAGGUAGCAUAAUAAUUAGUCUUUUAAUUGGAGGCUUGUAUGAAUGGUUGGAUGAGGCACUAUCUGUUUCAUAAAAAUUUAAUUUAGAAUUUUAUUUUUUAGUUAAAAAGCUAAAAUUUUUUUUAAAGACGAGAAGACCCUAUAGAUCUUUAUUAUUUUUUUAUUUUAUUUAUUAAGAUUAAUUUUUAUAUAAUAUUAAAAAUAAUUUUAUUGGGGUGAUAUUAAAAUUUAUAAAACUUUUAAUAUAAAUAAAUCAUAAAUUAGUGAAUUAUUGAUCCAGUAUUAUUGAUUAAAAAUUUAAGUUACCUUAGGGAUAACAGCGUAAUUUUUUUGGAGAGUUCUUAUCGAUAAAAAAUAUUGCGACCUCGAUGUUGGAUUAAGAUAUAAUAUUGGGCGUAGCAGUUCAAAUUUUAAGUCUGUUCGACUUUUAAAUUCUU
rnacentral:rRNA from 1 species